CGUGUCCCCACUCUGUGCUGGGUCCCAGGUGUGUCCCUGUGUCCCAACUCACCCCUGGCCCAUGCACCGGGCCCACAGGUGCUGGGUCACAGGGGUGUCCCCGUGUCCCCACUCACCCCUGGCCCAUGCACAGGGCCCACAGGUGCUGGGUCACAGGUGUGUCCCCAUGUCCCCACUCACCCCUGGCCCAUGCACAGGGCCCGCAGGUGCUGGGUCACAGGUGUGUCCCCACUCACCCCUGGCCCAUGCACAGGGCCCGCAGGUGCUGGGUCACAGGUGUGUACACGCUGGGGGGCAGGGCCAGGUAGAAGAGCCGGUGGGCGCGGUCGCCCCCGGGCAGCCCCCGCAGGUGAGCGUCCAGCGCCCGGAACGAGGCCUCGUCCCCGUACUGACCCCGCACGAAGCUCUGCA